GAUUCCCUUAGUAGCGGCGAGCGAAACGGGAAGAGCCCAAACCAACAAGCUUGCUUGUUGGGGUUGUAGGACACUCUAUACGGAGUUACAAAGGACGACAUUAGACGAAUCAUCUGGAAAGAUGAAUCAAAGAAGGUAAUAAUCCUGUAGUCGAAAAUGUUGUCUCUCUUGAGUGGAUCCUGAGUACGACGGAGCACGUGAAAUUCCGUCGGAAUCUGGGAGGACCAUCUCCUAAGGCUAAAUACUCUCUAGUGACCGAUAGUGAACCAGUACCGUGAGGGAAAGGUGAAAAGCACCCCGGAAGGGGAGUGAAAUAGAACCUGAAACCGUGUGCUUACAAGUAGUCAGAGCCCGUUAAUGGGUGAUGGCGUGCCUUUUGUAGAAUGAACCGGCGAGUUACGAUUUGAUGCAAGGUUAAGCAGUAAAUGUGGAGCCGUAGCGAAAGCGAGUCUGAAUAGGGCGUUUAGUAUUUGGUCGUAGACCCGAAACCAGGUGAUCUACCCUUGGUCAGGUUGAAGUUCAGGUAACACUGAAUGGAGGACCGAACCGACUUACGUUGAAAAGUGAGCGGAUGAACUGAGGGUAGCGGAGAAAUUCCAAUCGAACCUGGAGAUAGCUGGUUCUCUCCGAAAUAGCUUUAGGGCUAGCCUCAAGUGAUGAUUAUUGGAGGUAGAGCACUGUUUGGACGAGGGGCCCCUCUCGGGUUACCGAAUUCAGACAAACUCCGAAUGCCAAUUAAUUUAACUUGGGAGUCAGAACAUGGGUGAUAAGGUCCGUGUUCGAAAGGGAAACAGCCCAGACCACCAGCUAAGGUCCCAAAAUAUAUGUUAAGUGGAAAAGGAUGUGGCGUUGCCCAGACAACUAGGAUGUUGGCUUAGAAGCAGCCAUCAUUUAAAGAGUGCGUAAUAGCUCACUAGUCGAGUGACACUGCGCCGAAAAUGUACCGGGGCUAAACAUAUUACCGAAGCUGUGGAUUGUCCUUUGGACAAUGGUAGGAGAGCGUUCUAAGGGCGUUGAAGCAUGAUCGUAAGGACAUGUGGAGCGCUUAGAAGUGAGAAUGCCGGUGUGAGUAGCGAAAGACGGGUGAGAAUCCCGUCCACCGAUUGACUAAGGUUUCCAGAGGAAGGCUCGUCCGCUCUGGGUUAGUCGGGUCCUAA
rnacentral:rRNA from 1 species